AGUUGGGGAAGCCGUUUUCACAGCCUGCAGACACCAGGAACUGGGCCUCCGGUGAGAGCAGCGAUGGAGCCUGAAGUAAAGACCACACAGAGUAUAUAACAGCAGGAAGAAUUCAAGUCUCAAAGUUGCUAGCAGCCUCUCGGUCGGGACCAGUCAGUCGAACAGCGGAGGUUGCUCGUGGGAAAAGAGGAGAAACAUCAAUGUCUUCAGGAGCAAAAAAAAAGGGCUUCGUCGUGUGCUCCGGUCCUCGGCUGAUGAAGAGACAUUCACCUGAUGCAGUAGUCGCGGAUGGUUCAGGAGCGCUGCUCUCCAACAGCUGGCUGCUGCUGCUGCAGCCCCGCCUCUCCCCGUCACCAGGCCCCGCCCCCCGAGCCGCGCCAUUGGACACGCUGCUCCGCCUCCCACCCUCCGUUCAAAACGUGCCAGUCAUAUAAGACUGUCUGCGGGUUUACAGCAGAAGUCACUCCACCUACAUUUAUGGUUUUAAUGUCUUAAAUAUACUAACAACUGCUCAAAAAAAGAGAAAGGUUUAAGAGUUUAAGUGUUCAUUUAUCAGAGACCCCCUAAAGUUCCCUCAUGGACCUUUGAAGGAGCCUGUGCCACAUUUUGAAAACCACCACCACUUAUACAGCCAUUACUGUUCCUAGCAAUACAUGUCUAAAUGGUCAUCACGCUUGUAUUAUAAUGAAUCCAUAUCUUAGACUUAGGAUGACAUCGAAACAAAAAAAAGCUUCUUUGGAACUAUAAUUACUUGUUGUAGUGGUUUUCAAUACGCGGUGCAGGAUUCUUCAAAUAUUUAUAGGUUGUGUCUUUUAUCAGAUUUUGUUUUGUAUUUAAAUACAUCUGCGCUGUUUUCAGAAGCAGCGGCUCUAAUUUCGUUGUACUGUUUUUCUCUUGUACAAUGACAAUAAAGGCGUUCUAACUUCUAA